UACGUAGGGGGCAAGCGUUAUCCGGAUUUACUGGGUGUAAAGGGAGCGUAGACGGCGUCGCAAGUCUGAAGUGAAAGCCCGUGGCUCAACCGCGGAAUCGCUUUGGAAACUGCGAGGCUGGAGUGCUGGAGAGGUAAGCGGAAUUCCUGGUGUAGCGGUGAAAUGCGUAGAUAUCAGGAGGAACACCGGCGGCGAAGGCGGCCUGCUGGACAGCAACUGACGCUGAGGCGCGAAAGCGUGGGGAGCAAACAGG
rnacentral:rRNA from 1 species